AGAGUUUGAUCCUGGCUCAGAUUGGACGCUGGCGGUAUGCUUUACACAUGCAAGUCGAACGGAUUAAGAAGCUUGCUUCUUAGUUAGUGGCGAACGGGUGAGUAAUAUAUCGGAACAUAUCCGGAAGUGGGGGAUAACGUAGCGAAAGUUACGCCAAUACCGCAUAUGCCCUGAGGGGGAAAGGGGGGGAUCGCAAGACCUCUCGCUUUCGGAGUGGCCGAUAUCGGAUUAGCUAGUAGGUGAGGUAAAGGCUCACCUAGGCGACGAUCCGUAGCUGGUCUGAGAGGACGACCAGCCACACUGGAACUGAGACACGGUCCAGACUCCUACGGGGGGCAGCAGUGGGGAAUUUUGGACAAUGGGCGAAAGCCUGAUCCAGCCAUACCGCGUGAGUGAAGAAGGCCUUCGGGUUGUAAAGCUCUUUCAGACGGAAAGAAAAGGUUUCGGAUAACACCUGGAACUGAUGACGGUACCGUAAGAAGAAGCACCGGCUAACUACGUGCCAGCAGCCGCGGUAAUACGUAGGGUGCGAGCGUUAAUCGGAAUUACUGGGCGUAAAGCGUGCGCAGGCGGUUUUUUAAGCCAGAUGUGAAAUCCCCGGGCUCAACCUGGGAACUGCAUUUGGAACUGGAAGACUAGAGUAUAGCAGAGGGAGGUAGAAUUCCACGUGUAGCAGUGAAAUGCGUAGAUAUGUGGAGGAAUACCGAUGGCGAAGGCAGCCUCCUGGGUUAAUACUGACGCUCAUGCACGAAAGCGUGGGGAGCAAACAGGAUUAGAUACCCUGGUAGUCCACGCCCUAAACGAUGUCAACUAGGUGUUGGGGGAGGAGACUUCCUUAGUACCGUAGCUAACGCGUGAAGUUGACCGCCUGGGGAGUACGGUCGCAAGAUUAAAACUCAAAGGAAUUGACGGGGACCCGCACAAGCGGUGGAUUAUGUGGAUUAAUUCGAUACAACGCGAAAAACCUUACCUACCCUUGACAUGCCAAGAAGUUUCCAGAGAUGGAUUCGUGCUCGAAAGAGAGCUUGGACACAGGUGCUGCAUGGCUGUCGUCAGCUCGUGUCGUGAGAUGUUGGGUUAAGUCCCGCAACGAGCGCAACCCUUGUCAUUAAUUGCCAUCAUUUAGUUGGGCACUUUAAUGAGACUGCCGGUGAUAAACCGGAGGAAGGUGGGGAUGACGUCAAGUCCUCAUUGCCCUUAUGGGUAGGGCUUCACACGUAAUACAAUGGUCGGUACAGAGGGUUGCCAACCCGC
rnacentral:rRNA from 1 species